GGUCAAGCGAAUAAGUGCAUGUGGUGGAUGCCUUGGCGAUCACAGGCGAUGAAGGACGUAGUAGCUUGCGAAAAGCUGCGGGGAGCUGGCAAACGAGCUUUGAUCCGCAGAUGUCCGAAUGGGGAAACCCGGCCCGUAUGGGUCAUCCCUUGCUGAAUACAUAGGCAAGGGAGGCGAACGCAGUGAACUGAAACAUCUAAGUAGCUGCAGGAAAAGAAAUCAACCGAGAUUCCCAAAGUAGUGGCGAGCGAAAUGGGAACAGCCUUGUACUCUUUAGCAGUAUUGUUAGCGGAACGGAAUGGAAAGUCCGGCCAUAGUGGGUGAUAGCCCCGUACGCGAAAACAGUAUUGUGGAACUAGGUGUACGACAAGUAGGGCGGGACACGUGAAAUCCUGUCUGAAGAUGGGGGGACCAUCCUCCAAGGCUAAAUACUCGUGAUCGACCGAUAGUGAACCAGUACCGUGAGGGAAAGGCGAAAAGAACCCCGGGAGGGGAGUGAAAUAGAUCCUGAAACCGCAUGCAUACAAACAGUCGGAGCCUGGAAACGGGUGACGGCGUACCUUUUGUAUAAUGGGUCAGCGACUUACAUUCAGUGGCAAGCUUAACCGAUUAGGGAAGGCGUAGCGAAAGCGAGUCCGAAUAGGGCGUUCAGUCGCUGGGUGUAGACCCGAAACCAAGUGAUCUAUCCAUGGCCAGGUUGAAGGUGCGGUAACACGUACUGGAGGACCGAACCCACUAACGUUGAAAAGUUAGGGGAUGAGCUGUGGAUAGGGGUGAAAGGCUAAACAAACUUGGAAAUAGCUGGUUCUCUCCGAAAACUAUUUAGGUAGUGCCUCGUGUCUCACCUUCGGGGGUAGAGCACUGUCAUGGUUGGGGGGUCUAUUGCUGAUUACCCCGCCAUAGCAAACUCCGAAUACCGAAGAGUGCAAUCACGGGAGACAGACAUCGGGUGCUAACGUCCGGUGUCAAGAGGGAAACAACCCAGACCGCCAGCUAAGGUCCCUAAGAUUGGCUAAGUGGGAAACGAAGUGGGAAGGCUAAAACAGUCAGGAGGUUGGCUUAGAAGCAGCCACCCUUUAAAGAAAGCGUAAUAGCUCACUGAUCGAGUCGUCCUGCGCGGAAGAUGUAACGGGGCUAAGCCAGUCACCGAAGCUGCGGAUGCACGUAAGUGCAUGGUAGGAGAGCGUUCUGUAAGCCUGUGAAGGUGUCUUGUAAAGGAUGCUGGAGGUAUCAGAAGUGCGAAUGCUGACAUGAGUAGCGAUAAAGGGGGUGAAAGGCCCCCUCGCCGUAAGCCCAAGGUUUCCUACGCAACGUUCAUCGGCGUAGGGUGAGUCGGCCCCUAAGGUGAGGCAGAGAUGCGUAGCUGAUGGGAAGCAGGUUAAUAUUCCUGCACCGUCGUAUGAUGCGAUGGGGGGACGGAUCGCGGAAGGUUGUCCGGGUGUUGGAAGUCCCGGUCCCUACAUUGGAGAUGGCACUUAGGCAAAUCCGGGUGCGUGAUUCAAGGGUGUGGGGCGAGCGACGUUAGGUCGCGAAGCAAUUGGAAGUGGUUCCAAGAAAAGCCUCUAAGCUUCAGUCAUACGAGACCGUACCGCAAACCGACACAGGUGGGCGAGAUGAGUAUUCUAAGGCGCUUGAGAGAACUCGGGAGAAGGAACUCGGCAAAUUGGUACCGUAACUUCGGGAUAAGGUACGCCCUUGUAGUUUGACUGGCUCGCGCCAGAAGGAUGAAGGGGUUGCAAUAAAAUGGUGGCUGCGACUGUUUAAUAAAAACACAGCACUCUGCAAACACGAAAGUGGACGUAUAGGGUGUGACGCCUGCCCGGUGCCGGAAGAUUAAAUGAUGGGGUGCAAGCUCUUGAUUGAAGUCCCGGUAAACGGCGGCCGUAACUAUAACGGUCCUAAGGUAGCGAAAUUCCUUGUCGGGUAAGUUCCGACCUGCACGAAUGGCGUAACGAUGGCCACACUGUCUCCUCCCGAGACUCAGCGAAGUUGAAGUGUUUGUGAUGAUGCAAUCUCCCCGCGGCUAGACGGAAAGACCCCAUGAACCUUUACUGUAGCUUUGCAUUGGACUUUGAACCGAUCUGUGUAGGAUAGGUGGGAGGCUUUGAAACCGGGACGCUAGUUUCGGUGGAGCCGACCUUGAAAUACCACCCUGGUUUGUUUGAGGUUCUAACCUUGGCCCGUGAAUCCGGGUCGGGGACAGUGCAUGGUAGGCAGUUUGACUGGGGCGGUCUCCUCCCAAAGUGUAACGGAGGAGUUCGAAGGUACGCUUGGUACGGUCGGACAUCGUACCUAAAGUGCAAUGGCAAAAGCGUGCUUAACUGCGAGACCGACAAGUCGAGCAGGUGCGAAAGCAGGACAUAGUGAUCCGGUGGUUCUGUAUGGAAGGGCCAUCGCUCAACGGAUAAAAGGUACUCUGGGGAUAACAGGCUGAUACCGCCCAAGAGUUCAUAUCGACGGCGGUGUUUGGCACCUCGAUGUCGGCUCAUCUCAUCCUGGGGCUGUAGCCGGUCCCAAGGGUAUGGCUGUUCGCCAUUUAAAGAGGUACGUGAGCUGGGUUUAAAACGUCGUGAGACAGUUUGGUCCCUAUCUGCCGUGGGCGUUGGAAUCUUGACGGGGGCUGCUCCUAGUACGAGAGGACCGGAGUGGACGUACCGCUGGUGUACCUGUUGUCUCGCCAGAGGCAUCGCAGGGUAGCUAUGUACGGAAGAGAUAACCGCUGAAAGCAUCUAAGCGGGAAACUCGCCUGAAGAUGAGGAUUCCCUGGAGACUUGAUCUCCCUGAAGGGUCGUUCGAGACCAGGACGUUGAUAGGCUGGGUGUGGAAGCGCAGUAAUGUGUUCAGCUAACCAGUACUAAUUGCCCGUGCGGCUUGAUCCU
rnacentral:rRNA from 2 species